GAUGAAGAACGUAGUGAAAUGCGAUAACUAGUGUGAAUUGCAGAAUUCCGUGAAUCAUCGAGUCUUUGAACGCACAUUGCGCCCCCUGGUAUUCCGGGGGGCAUGCCUGUCCGAGCGUCAUUGCUGCCCAUCAAGCACGGCUUGUGUGUUGGGUCGUCGUCCCCUCUCCGGGGGGGACGGGCCCCAAAGGCAGCGGCGGCACCGCGUCCGAUCCUCGAGCGUAUGGGGCUUUGUCACCCACUCUGUAGGCCCGGCCGGCGCUUGCCGAACGCAAAUCAAUCUUUUUCCAGGUUGACCUCGGAUCAGGUAGGGAUACCCGCUGAACUUAAGCAUAUUCAAUAAGCGGAGGA
rnacentral:misc_RNA from 1 species